UUCUUCCAAAUUCGACCUCAAAUCAGGUAGGACUACCCGCUGAACUUAAGCAUAUCAAUAAGCGGAGGAAAAGAAACCACAGGGAUUGCCUUAGUAGCGGCGAGUGAAGCGGCAAAAGCUCAAAUUUGAAAUCUGGCACUUUCAGUGUCCGAGUUGUAAUUUGAAGAAGGUAUCUUUGGGUCUGGCUCUUGUCUACGUUUCCGUU
rnacentral:rRNA from 1 species